ACAGCGCGUCCUCUUGUGUUCGGGUUUGACUGGGGUGGGUUAGGUUGGGUUAAGGAAAGUGGAGUGAGGUGUGUCAGGUGGGGUGGGUUGGGUUAAGUUAAGGAAGGUGGAGUAGGUUGGGUUAGGUUAGGGAAAGUGGAGUGAAGUGUCAGGUGGGGUGGGUUAGGUUAAGUUAGGGAAGGUGGAGUAGGUUGGGUUUGGUUGGGGGAAGUGGAGUGAAGUGUGUCAGGUGGAUUAGGUUGGGUUAGGGAAGCUGAGUUUAAGUGUGUCGGGUGAGGUAGGUUGGGUUAGGGAAGGUGGGGUGAAGUGUGUGUCAGUUGGGGUAGGUUAGGUUAGGUUAGGAAGGUGGGGUAGAGUGUGUCAGUUGGGGUAAAACAUGGAAACAUGGACUAGCAGGCACCAGAAAGCCUGUUAGCUCAUUACCAGGCUGCCUGCUUUCAGUGAUUUAAUUAAUCCGUUUGCCAUAGGAGUGGCUUGCAGGGAAGGAUUAAAGCACUCAUGGAUACGUUCAGUUCACUCCCGAUGCAGGUUAGGUUAGGUUAGGAAGGUGGGGUAGAGUGUGUCAGUUGGGGCAGGUUAGGUUAGGUUAGGUUGGGAAGGUGGGGUAGAGUGUGUGUGUCAGGUGGGGUAGGUUGGGUUGGGUUAGGGUAGGGAAGGUUGGGUGAAGUGUGUGUGUCAGGUGGGGUAGGUUGGGUUGGGUUAGGGUAGGGAAGGUUGGGUGAAGUGUGUGUGACAGGUGGGGUAGGUUGGGUUGGGUUAGGGUAGGGAAGGUUGGGUGAAGUGUGUGUGUCAGGUGGGGUAGAGAUUUGGUUUAGUUGGGGUGUAGAUGUGUACCUACUUGUGUUUGUUUAGCCGCUGGGGUGGUUAAGGUUGUAGUAGUGUUCCGGGUGUGUAGGACAGUAAGUAGCGAGGAUGGCUUCACCUGGUUGCAUUGUGAAUGGAAAAAUUGUUAUUCUGAUAGUCGUCCGCACCUGUCCCUCCCCCCCUCCCCCUCCCUCCCCCUUCAUGUCGCCUCAUGACACCCGCGGUGCCACUCUCUGAUUCACUCCCGCGUCAUUGCGUGCCGCGCAACGCUUGUUUGUGCGUCAGUUAUCGUGGAGCUCAGGGCGCGCCUCCCCCUCCCUCGGGGACCGGCGGGGCGGGGCAGGCGCGGACGGACGGCUGGACGUGUCGGCGAUGGACUCACGGAUUCUGGC